GACGAACGCUGGCGGCGUGCCUAAUACAUGCAAGUCGGACGCUGAAGGAGGAGCUUGCUUCUCUGGAUGAGUUGCGAACGGGUGAGUAACGCGUAGGUAACCUGCCUGGUAGCGGGGGAUAACUAUUGGAAACGAUAGCUAAUACCGCAUAAUAGUAGAUGUUGCAUGACAUUUGCUUAAAAGGUGCAAUUGCAUCACUACCAGAUGGACCUGCGUUGUAUUAGCUAGUUGGUGGGGUAACGGCUCACCAAGGCGACGAUACAUAGCCGACCUGAGAGGGUGAUCGGCCACACUGGGACUGAGACACGGCCCAGACUCCUACGGGAGGCAGCAGUAGGGAAUCUUCGGCAAUGGACGGAAGUCUGACCGAGCAACGCCGCGUGAGUGAAGAAGGUUUUCGGAUCGUAAAGCUCUGUUGUAAGAGAAGAACGAGUGUGAGAGUGGAAAGUUCACACUGUGACGGUAUCUUACCAGAAAGAGACGGCUAACUACGUG
rnacentral:rRNA from 1 species